UACGUAGGUGGCGAGCGUUGUCCGGAAUCACUGGGCGUAAAGGGCGCGUAGGCGGUUGUACAAGUCGCAUGUGAAAUACCAGGGCUCAACCCUGGGGGGUCAUGCGAAACUGUAUGACUUGAGUGCAGUAGAGGGAAGCGGAAUUCCUGGUGUAGCGGUAAAAUGCGUAGAGAUCAGGAGGAACACCGGUGGCGAAGGCGGCUUCCUGGGCUGUAACUGACGCUGAGGCGCGAAAGCGUGGGUAGCAAAC
rnacentral:rRNA from 1 species